ACAAACGCUAUGAACAGGAAAAGUAGAUUAUAUUUAUCAGACAGAGAGAGGUUCCUAGGCUGAGAGAACUUUAUGAAAUAAUAUAAUUGAAGUGCCCCUGUGAGCGUUAAGCUGAAAAUUAGUAGGCUGUUACGGGUUCUCCCGUUAUAGAGAUAUGGUAUAUAUGUACCAGAAUUGAGAUGGGUGUUUUUACCUAAUCAGAGUGGAACCGCGGAAGUUUAACUUCUGCCUCUGUA
rnacentral:ncRNA from 1 species